GCUUGUGGGCUGCCGCCCGCCUUUGCCUCUUCCACAGAGGCUUGAAGAUAACCAACUGGAGGCAGAGAGGUGGGCGGAAUCUCCGUCUUUUUCACAACAGAUGCAUUCAACAAUUCACAGAAGUCUGGCCUCCAGUGCUGGGUGAACUCGGUUUGGGUGUCACUCGACGCCCACUAGGGGCUGAGGAGGCUCCAGUGCGCAGACUCCGGGCACCGGAUAAAAGCGGAGCUGGAGCGUCCAGCGCCGUCUCGAUGGAGGAGCGAGAAACGGAAGAGGUCGGGGGGAGAAGCAGCAGGAAAAGUACAGCCACCGUCAGCGCCGCUUUCCUGCCACCGUGUAUCGGGAGACCCGGAGCGCUUGGUAAGCCGAGUGGGGAGAGGCAGAGGCGGUCCGUGCAGCCAAUCAGUGCCUGGUGUGUUCCGUCGGGCGCGUCGUGAUUGGCCGGCGAUGACCUCAUGCUGCAGCAGCGGGUGGGGCCAGAGCCGUCGGGGGAGGCUGUUGCAAAGGCAGAGAGGGAGAAGUGACGAUGGUGAUCGUUGCUGCCGCGGCUGAUAUGGAACCCAAGCAGUGGCGAAGAGAAUCUCAAGGCUCUUCCCUGAGUAUUUUCUCCUGUCCCUGCGCGAGGUGAGGGCCCCGGCUCGGCCUCUGCGAAACUUUGGGGCGCUGGCGCGGACGAGGAGACACACUUCCUCCCAUGACUUUUGUAACUGCGUCAGGGCAAGAUGGCGCUGGGUCUCCUUGGGGCGCGGGGGGAGAGGCACGUCCACCGCCGCCGCAGCGCAUGUGACCGGGCUGCAUUCCUGUGGGGUUUGGCUCCGACCCAGGCUGGGGCGGGGGAGGGGAAAGGGCUUGGGCGGAGGAGACUGUGGUGCGGUCGGCGUUGGCGGCCCGAAGAGGAAGAGCUGACUGUUUGAGAGCGCUUCCCCUCCCCCAGAUAGCUUACAGCUGCGGCUCCCGGGGGAAAGCCCCGGGAGGGACACUCACGGGGUGUGACGGCUGUUGGUGGAAGAGAAGAGACAUAGAGAGAGAGGGAACACAAGCGGGGGAGUGGGAGAAGGAGAAGCAGACUUCCUGCUGAGCAGGGAGCCGGAUGUGGGGCUCGAUCCCAGGACCCCGGGAUCAUGACCUGAGCCGAAGACCUUAUAAUGAAAGGAUCAUGACCGGAGCAGAAAUACACUUAACCGACUGAGCCACCCAGGUGCCUGAGUUCAUUUUUAUUUUCAAUACUUUUUAUAUCCUGUGUCUUGAUCUCUCCUGGGUAAUCAUUAACAUAAAGUAGCUAAUUUUUGGUUCCUAUUUUUACUGCCCUCUUCCAUUUUUCUCUACUCCUCUACAGACUUCUCUCUUGAUCAACAACUAUACCAUUUCUGUAGUUAAUGUGACAGUGUAUACUCUUCUGUAAAUACAUGUAUAUCAGAGUCCUCUAAAUUGUUAUCCCUGCUUAGUCAGUGGAGUGGAACAUAGGCCCCUUGAUCUUGAGGUUGUAAGUUUGGGCCCCACAUUGAGUGUAGAGUUUACUUAAAAAUAAAAUUUAAAAAAAAAUAAAUUUGUUAUCCUUGCCUCUGGAGGCAAGAAUGAGUUUUAUUUAUUUAUCGCUGACCCACCAAAGUUUGGUAUUAGAAAAGUGCUCAGCCUCUGUGAAGAUGACCAGAAGUUAGCAUAGUUAAAUUGAGAGGGAAACCAAGACUCAAACUUUUCUUGUAUUAAGCUACAAAGUAAACUGAUCUCUUAAGUUGCAUUUAUGUAGAUUACUUCCUAGUUGAUAGCUUUAGGUCCAAAUAGCUUUUUCAGAAUCUAAAAACACUGAAAGUACUAGAGUGAGGUUUAUGUUGUAAAAAUCAAAUGCUCAUAAGACCUUAAUAGCUAUGACAUACAAUUGUUUCUGUGUGUCUCUGCCUUUUUACUAUCAGCCAAAUGGGAAAAUUAUGUUCAAGGAUAAACUCUAAGAGUAGUUUAAUUGGAGGCAUAGAUCAAAGUGUGUAGUUUAAGGUUAAACUCUUCAAACUCAUGGUUAAGUGGUCCAUACAGGGUACUUGGUAAAAUGAGUUAUUUGUGGAAGAGAAGCAGAUGGUUGGUUUUCUAUGCAUAAACUGCCCCCCCAAUCCUUGCUAUCACGCAUUCCCCCCAAAUUAAAUACCUAGGUUAUAUUUUCCAUUUCUAAAACAGUCAAACAAGUCCUAUGUUCCCUGGAAUUAAUUUUACAUUGGUAAAUAAACUGGAACGGUUUUUCCAUGCCAUGCAUUUUUAUGAAAUAACUAAUUUGUGUGAAAAUUUUAAAAUAUUCUAAAUAUGAAUUAGCAAAGUAAAAUGAAGGAACAAGAUUACAAAAAUCAAGUCAUGGGGCAAUGCUUGAGGAGAUGGGGAGAAGACAGUUAAGCAUUAUGCAUGAAGUUUUAAUAUUCUGGAAAGAGAAUUCUCAGUGAAAAGUAUAGCUUUGUAACUGUCAUAAAAUUUGGUAUUUUAGAACUUAAUAAUUAAAGCCAAACCAGUGAACUUUUUUUUUUUUUUUUUUUAAACUUUGGGCUCUAUUAUAACGUUCAUAUGAAGGUAAGUGUAGGGUAUUGGCUCUCUUUGGAGAGAGGAGUAGGAAGAGGUUUGACAUCACAGGCCAUGUGGACUUAAAGCUAUGGCUUUUUGUACACCUGAAAUUAACAUAACCCUGUAUGUUAAUUGUAUUUGAACUUAAAAAUAAAAAUUUUGAAAAAGCCAUGAAUUUGAAAGUAUUUUUCAGUAUUUAGAGUCUGAUUAUUCAUGCUCUUUAUAGUCACUCAGUCUCACUGGCAGACCUUACUUUUCUUGCUCAUUCUGCUGUUACUGUGCAUCAAGGAGGCAUUGUGUACCAGAAGGCUUUGAGCUACUUGGGGAAAAGGUGCUUAUAAGAACAGCAUAAUUAUUGGGACAUCUGGGUGGCUCAGUCGGUUAAGUAUCUGCCUUCGGCUCAGGUCAUGAUCCCAGGGUCCUGGGAUCGAGUCCCCCAUCAGGCUCCCUGCUCAAUAGGGAGUCUGCUUCUCCUGCUCUCCUUCCGCUCCCCCCUGCUUGUGCUCUCUCUCUCUCUGACAAAAAAUUUUUAAAAAGAACAGGGUAAUUAUUAAUCAUAAUAAACAGUCUUUGUCAAGGUGUGUGGGUAACUCCCUUGUGUAUUAGUAGCUGUCAGUGACUAGCUAGCUUCCCAACAAGCAGGUUAGAUUUGUUCCUUCUAAAUCAGGGACCUCACGGUCUAGGUCUUGUGUCUCACAGGAGCCUUGAUAGCAUAGAAUAGUUAAGAUGGGAAAGGCUCACAUUCCUGUUCGAACAAUACAGAGCUGUUUGAGAACAGGAUAACUUCAAGGGUUUAGGACAAAUCAAAUAAAAUGAGUGUUCAUGUAGAUCUCUAGGAUAUGAAUCAACAAAGCAAUUAAACUCUUGUGUGGGUUUUUUGGGUUUUUUUGAUAGAAUGUAUCAGAUUUGGUAUAUAUGAGAGACAAACUAAAGAGUUGGCAGGUUUUAGAGCUAUUCAAAUCCAUUGGUUUCCAGACUGGGAUUUCUUGAAUGAAUCAAAUGAUAAUAUGGAUAAUAAACAUAGUUGCCAGUUUUAGUUCUUCAAAUAGUGACAGUGUAUGCAACAUUUGGUUCUAAAAUAGUUACUAACAGCAAACAAGGACAUAUGGGUUUGUUUUUUUUGUUUUGUUUUUUUGAAGAUUUUGAGAGAGCGAGUACGAGUGAGCAUGAACGGGGUUGGGGGGGCAGGGCACGGAGGGGCAGGCAGACUCUUCCCUGCUAUGUGGGGUCCUGGGAUCAGGCCCUGAGACCACUACGUGAGCUGAAGUUAGAUGCUUAACCAACUGAGCCACCCAGGUGACUCUGACUUUUGUAUGUGGUUUUAAAGAUUAAAUUGUCAUUUUGAAAAACUUGUCACAUUGUUCUUCUCAUUUUGCUGUGGAAUAAUGAAAAAUUGUCUAGAAUUCAUUUUGGGCUAUUAUUUGGGAAUCAUUCAUGUAUCUCAACUCCUGUUUCAGUCUUAGAAGUAAACAAAUGUGUAUAUUAUAUAUAAUAUAUAUAUUUCCAACAGUCUAAUUAGGGUAAAUCCAUGAAUAACAGCCAUUAAAAAUUAUUUGCAAAGAAUCAUUUCAAAGUAUUACUACAAAGAAAUGGUAACAAAAAUAGAGUUAAAAUUUUGUGGGACUUUUGCGUAAGUGUUAUCAUAGAAAUGGGUAAAGAGGGACACCUGGGUAGCUCAGUCGAUUAAGCCUCCGACUCUGAUUUUGGCUCGGGUCAUAAUCUCAGGAUCGUGAGAUCAAGCCCUAGGUUGGGCUCUGCUGUGGGUGUGGAGCCUGCUUAAGAAUCUGCCUCUGCCCCUGCCCCGCCCCCUCUUAAAAAUAAAUAAGCUUUAAAAAAAAAGAUGAGUAAAGUAGUGGAAUGGUUUCACUGGGUCUUUUUGGAUUGUAGGCUUACAGAUGGAUUUUCUGCAACAGUCCUGUAUUACCAGAAAGUGUUUUUUUCCCCAGAGUUAUUCAAGUUUGUAAUGAUAUCGGAAAAUGCUUGUACAUUAACUAAAAAACGGGAUACAAACUAAAACCAGUAUGGUCUCAGCUUGUCAGAAACCACCCUCAGUCCUUUAACAGCACGUGUCCAUUAUGUCCCUGGUAAUGUCCAUUUUAACCUUUUUAUUUCUUGGUCUGCCUGCUUUUCAUCGUGUCUACUACUACUUCAGGCCUGGCAUAGAGUAGUUAGUCGCCCUGAAUAUUUGCCAAAUAAAUGAAGUAUUAUAUAUAACCGUGUAGUGGCCUCCGUGCUUACCCUGGCUAUAAUCUUAACCUUUAAAAUUCAUCGGUAUCCUUCAAAGUGAUUUUACUAAAAUGUGAAUCUAAUCUUACUAGAAAUGCUUUAAUGGAAGAGUCCUUGUUCCUCGGGUUGGUGAACAAGGCCCUGUGAUCUAGCUCUGCCUGUUUUCCAAAGAUUCAGUUGCACCUUCUUUUGCUUCCACACCCAUAUUUCUACUGCUCUCAUUUCCCCAAACCUACUUUGUUCUCUCAGUCCUUCUUUUUAUGUAAUCAUCUCUUCAUGAAGUACUUUGUCCCUCUCUCCCCCUUGUGAAUGCAUCCUUCAGUUCAAGUGUUUUUCCUCUGUGAAGCUUUCUCUGGUGUUUUUUCCAAACAGUCCAUUGUUCUUUAUAAUUCCAUGUACCUUUUAUCCAGCUCUUACUGGAUUUAUCCUGCACUUACUGUAGUUUAAGUAUUUAGAAUCCCCUCACCCUGUUAGAAUGCGAGCCCCAGAAAGACAGUGUUUCACUUUGUCUGCCUGAGAUAAAUACAUAGUGCUUGCAUUAAUACCUAGGACAUAGUAAAUGCUCACGUAAAUGUUUGGCUUAAUUAGGUCUCUU